AGCCAUGCCGCGUGUGUGAAGAAGGCCUUCGGGUUGUAAAGCACUUUCAGUAGGGAGGAAGGUAGUGUAGUUAACACCUGCAUUAUUUGACGUUACCUACAGAAGAAGCACCGGCUAACUCCGUGCCAGCAGCCGCGGUAAUACGGAGGGUGCGAGCGUUAAUCGGAAUUACUGGGCGUAAAGCGCAUGCAGGCGGCCUGUUAAGUCAGAUGUGAAAGCCCGGGGCUUAACCUCGGAAUUGCAUUUGAAACUGGCAGGCUAGAGUCUUGUAGAGGGGGUAGAAUUUCAGGUGUAGCGGUGAAAUGCGUAGAGAUCUGAAGGAAUACCAGUGGCGAAGGCGGCCCCCUGGCAAGAGACUGACGCUCAGAUGCGAAAGCGUGGGGAGCAAACAGGAUUAGAUACCCUGGUAG
rnacentral:rRNA from 1 species